rnacentral:lncRNA from 1 species
AGUGUGUUACCUGCCGACAGCAUAAUGUGAGGCAAGGUCUAGCUGUUCCCCCCCGGCAUACAAGCUUAUAGAGCAGCCUCCUUUGAAGAUCUCCAGGUGGACUUCACAGAGAUGCCAAAGUGUGGAGGUAACAAGUAUUUACUAGUUCUUUUGUGUACCUACUGUGGGUGGGUGGAGGCUUAUCCAACACUAACUGAGAAAGCUCGUGAAGUAACCUGUGUGCUUCUUCGAGAUCUUAUUCCUAGAUUUGGACUGCCCUUACGGAUCAGCUCAGAUAAUGGGCUAACGUUUGUGGCUGACUUGGUACAGAAGAUAGCAAAGGUGUUCGAGUGUGGAUCAAGGACUGGAACGUAGCCUCUUUGUGCCCAUGGUGGAAAGGACCCCAGACUGUCGUCCUGAUCACUCCCACUGCUGUGAACGUAGAGAGAAUCCUAGCCUGGAUCCAUCACAACCGUGUAAAACCUGCAGCGCCUGAAUCCUGGGAGGCAAGACCAAGUCUGGACAACCCCUGCAGAGUGACCCUGAAGAAGAUGACAAGCCCUGCUCCAGUCACACCCAGAAGCUGACUGGUCCACGCACAGCCGAAGCAUGAGGAAGCUCAUUGUGGGCUUCAUUUUUCUUAAAUUUUGGACUUACAGUAAGGGCUUCAACUGUUCUUACUCAAACUGGGGACUAUUCCCAGUGUAUUCAUCAGGUCAGUGAGGUAGGACAGCAAAUGAAAACAAUCUUUCUGUUCUAUAGUUAUUAUCAAUGUAUGGGAACGUUAAAAGAGACUUGUUUGUAUAAUGCCACUCAGUACAAGGUAUGUAGCCCAGGAAAUGACUGACCUGAUGUGUGUUAUAACCCAUCUGAGCCCCCUACAACCACCAGUUUUGAAAUAAGAUUAAGAACUGGCCUUUUCCUAGGUGAUACAAGUGAAAUAAUAACUAGAACAGAAGAAAAAGGAAUCCCCAAACAAGUAACUUUAAGAUUUGACGCUUGUGCAGCCAUUAAUAGUAACAAGCUAGGAACAGGAUGUGGUUCUCUUAACUGGGAAAGGAGCUACAGAGUAGAAAAUAAAUAUGUUUGUCAUGAGUCAGGGGUUUGUGAAAAUUGUGCCUUUUGGCCAUGUGUUAUUUAGGCUACUUGGAAAAAGAACAAAAAGGACUUGGUUCAUCUUCAGAAAGGGGAAGCCAACCCCUCCUGUGCUGCCAGUCACUGUAACCCACUAGAACUAAUAAUUACCAAUCCCCUAGAUCCCCAUUGGAAAAAGGGAGAAUGUGUAACCCUGGGGAUCAAAGGGACAGGGUUAAACCCCCAAGUUGCCAUUUUAGUUCAAGGGGAGGUCCACAAGCACUCUCCCAAACCAGUGUUUCAAACCUUUUAUGAGGAGUUAAAUCUGCCAGCACCAGAACUUCUGAAAAAGAUAAAAAAUUUGUUUCUCCAAUUAGCAGAAAAUGUAGCUCAUUCCCUUAAUGUUACUUCUUGUUAUAUAUGCGGGGGAACCACUAUCAGAGACCGAUGGCCUUGGGAAGCCUGAGAGUUGGUGCCCACUGAUCCAGCUCCUGAUAUAAUGGGGGCUUGUCCAGGAUCUCAUCAGGACUGGAUGGCUCUCGCUGGACUAUACUGGAUAUGUGGGCAGAGAGCCUACAUUCAGUUACCUAAUGAAUGGGCAGACAGUUGUGUUAUUGGCACUAUUAAGCCAUCCUUUUUCUUAUUACCGAUAAAAACUACUGGUACUAUCUGUAAAUUCCAGACAUUGUAUGAGAAAGCACUGUAAAACUUUUUGUUCUGUUAGCUGAUAUAUGUAGCCUCCAGUCACAUUCCUCAUGCUUACUUGAUCUAUCAUGACCCUUUCACGUGGACCCCUUAGAG